CAAUAUAAGUGAUGGCGACCGGCGCACGGGUGAGUAACACGUAUCCAACCUGCCGAUAACUUGGGGAUAGCCUUUCGAAAGAAAGAUUAAUACCCAUGGUAUAAUAAAACCGCAUGGUUUAAUUAUUAAAGAAUUUCGGUUAUCGAUGGGGAUGCGUUCCAUUAGGCAGUUGGUGAGGUAACGGCUCACCAAACCUUCGAUGGAUAGGGGUUCUGAGAGGAAGGUCCCCCACAUUGGAACUGAGACACGGUCCAA
rnacentral:rRNA from 1 species